rnacentral:rRNA from 1 species
CAGCCGUCGCACAAGACCUUCCGGAUCAAGCAGAAGCUGGCCAAGAAGCAGCGCCAGAACCGCCCCAUCCCCUACUGGAUCCGCAUGAGGACCGACAACACCAUCAGGUACAACGCCAAGCGCAGGCACUGGCGCCGCACCAAGCUCGGAUUCUAA